UUGACCUCGAAUCAGGUAGGAAUACCCGCUGAACUUAAGCAUAUCAAUAAGCGGAGGAAAAGAAACCAACCGGGAUUACCUCAGUAACGGCGAGUGAAGCGGUAACAGCUCAAAUUUGAAAUCUGGCUCCUGCGGAGUCCGAGUUGUAAUUUGUAGAAGAUGCUUUGGGUUGUGGGUUCGGCCUAAGUUCCUUGGAACAGGACGUCAUAGAGGGUGAGAAUCCCGUAUGUGGCCGAGGCCCGCGCCUAUGUAAAGCUCUUUCAACGAGUCGAGUUGUUUGGGAAUGCAGCUCAAAAUGGGUGGUAAAUUUCAUCUAAAGCUAAAUAUGGGCCAGAGACCGAUAGCGCACAAGUAGAGUGAUCGAAAGAUGAAAAGCACUUUGGAAAGAGAGUUAAACAGUACGUGAAAUUGUUGAAAGGGAAGCGCUUGCAACCAGACUUGGGCGCUGCCGAUCACCCCGAGUUCUCUCUGGUGCACUCGACAGCGUACAGGCCAGCAUCGGUUCGGGUGGCUGGAUAAAGGCCGUAGGAACGUAGCUCCCUCCGGGGAGUGUUAUAGCCUACGGUGCCAUGCAGCCCAGCCGGACCGAGGACCGCGCCUUCGGGCUAGGAUGCUGGCGUAAUGGUUGUAAGCGACCCGUCUUGAAACACGGACCAAGGAGUCUAACAUCUAUGCGAGUGUUUGGGUGGCAAACCCAUACGCGGAAUGAAAGUGAACGUAGGUGAGAACCCCUUUGGGGCGCAUCAUCGACCGAUCCUGAUGUCUUCGGAUGGAUUUGAGUAAGAGCAUAGCUGUUGGGA
rnacentral:rRNA from 1 species